rfam:Fukomys damarensis contig86246, whole genome shotgun sequence.
GCUGGGGCGGGUGUGUGCGCCUGUAGUCCCAGCUGCUCGGGAGGCUGAGGUGGGAGGAUCGCUUGAGUCUAGGAGUUCUGGGCUGCAGUGCACUAUGCUGAUCAGGGGUCCACACUAAGUUUGACAUCACUAUGGUGACUUCCCGGGAGCGGGGACCACAGGGUUGCCUAAGGAGGGGUGAACUGGCCCAGGUUGGAAAUGGAGCGGGUCAGAACUCCCGUGCUGACCAGUAGUGGGAUCGUGCCUGUGAAUAGCCGCUGCACUACAACCUGGGCAGUACAGUGAGAGCCGGUCUCUU